UACGGAGGGGGCUAGCGUUGUUCGGAAUUACUGGGCGUAAAGCGCACGUAGGCGGCUUUGUAAGUUAGAGGUGAAAGCCCGGAGCUCAACUCCGGAAUUGCCUUUAAGACUGCAUCGCUUGAAUCAUGGAGAGGUGAGUGGAAUUCCGAGUGUAGAGGUGAAAUUCGUAGAUAUUCGCAAGAACACCAGUGGCGAAGGCGGCUCACUGGCCCGAUACUGACGCUGAGGUGCGAAAGCGUGGGGAGCAAACAGG
rnacentral:rRNA from 1 species